ACCUCCUCACUGACCUAGGAUUUUGGGAACCAACUUGCCUGUCUCUUAAGACUUCCAUCUCAAUCUGCACCCAGACUACUUGUCCUGUGCCAUACAUCCCACCUUGCUGAAGAAAUAGAGAAACUCUUAACCUCCUCACUGACCUAGGAUUUUGGGAACCAACUUGCCUGUCUCUUAAGACUUCCAUCUCAAUCUGCACCCAGACUACUUGUCCUGUGCCAUACAUCCCACCUUGCUGAAGAAAUAGAGAAACUCUUAACCUCCUCACUGACCUAGGAUUUUGGGAACCAACUUGCCUGUCUCUUAAGACUUCCAUCUCAAUCUGCACCCAGACUACUUGUCCUGUGCCAUACAUCCCACCUUGCUGAAGAAAUAGAGAAACUCUUAACCUCCUCACUGACCUAGGAUUUUGGGAACCAACUUGCCUGUCUCUUAAGACUUCCAUCUCAAUCUGCACCCAGACUACUUGUCCUGUGCCAUACAUCCCACCUUGCUGAAGAAAUAGAGAAAGUACGUUUGACCCCUUGAUAUAACUGUGGAUACAACGUUCUGUAUUACUUAACACCAAGAGUGUAUGAUAAAGCUGCCCUCCUGAGCCAGGUUCCCAGCAGCCAGUUCCAACUCUCACCAUCUUAUCCUUUUUUCUCUCUUCCAUAACCUUUAUCCCCGUGGCUCUACCAAUUGACUCACCUCUUUUUCUCUCUUUCUACCUAGCCUAGCUCUCUGAUACUCAAGCUGUUGUCCACCAGGUGGCUCCACUACCUUGCAUUUCCUUUUCUCCUUCCUCUCCAUUAAUAUACUAUCCCUCUUUAGUGUCUAUCUUAUCCACUCUUCAUCCUCCUUUUCAUUACUCCCCCCUCAUUGUACUCUAUUCCCUUUUCCCUCUCUACUAUUUCGGUGUUACUUUACACUAUACUACUACAACUACUUUACACUCACCUGGAACUACCCAGAACUCCUGCCCAAUCGGUAGCUUUUCUGAUUGACUCCAGGAGAUCUUCUUUACUUGCUCUAACCCGCUCCGUUCGCCCUACGGGCUCACUCCGCUCCCCACCCUACCCCC